rnacentral:rRNA from 1 species
UACGUAGGGGGCUAGCGUUGUCCGGAUUUAUUGGGCGUAAAGCGCGUGUAGGCGGCCUUGUAAGUCCGUUCUGAAAGCCCGGGGCUCAACCCCGGGAGGCGGAUGGAUACUGCAGGGCUCGAGUACGGAAGAGGCGAGUGGAAUUCCCGGUGUAGCGGUGAAAUGCGCAGAGUAUCGGAAGGAACACCAAUGGCGAAGGCAGCUCGCUGGGACGUUACUGACGCUGAGACGCGAAAGCGUGGGGAGCAAACAGG